AUAAACGAAAAAGAAAAAGGAGAUUGGAAAACAACAAAAAAAAAAAGGAACGGAGAGAGGCAUACAACAAAAAGAGAAUAAGAAAGAAAAAAAAACAAGGAAAAAGAGUGAAAAAAGUAAGAGAAGAAUCAAAGAAGCAGUAAUAUAAAAAAAAUAGACAAUCUUAUUUUAGAAAAGUUAAAAAAAAAAUUCUUUUUUUAAAAAAACUUUGGUGAAUAACAAGUUGGAGUUUGACGUUUUGGUUCAUGAUUUCGAGUUCAUGACUUUUUCUUUCUUUUAUUGAAAAUUAUUUUCGUCUGGAGGUAAUUCUCAAUUUUUCUUUGUAUAGAAUAACAUCACAAUCAUGCGGUACUUGAUUCCAAUAAUAUAAAGUUGCUCAAAUUUUGUAUGUAUUUGAUAAUUUAUUUAUUUAUUAGGCUUACUUGAUUUUUUCCAUUCAAUUCGGAACUUCAUUAAUCCAAUUAAUUUUGAAUUGUAUUACAUAAACUCUAUUAAACAAGAAAGUGUACCUAUAUAAUGUGGGUAUUUAAUUAGAAGUAACAUUUUUUUUUUUGUGACCGAUUAAAGGUGGGCUUGAUAUGCAAGAAAAUGUUUUCCUCCCUGCCAUGCACAUCUAGCUUAUUUAUUUAUUUAUUUAUUUAUUUAUUUAUUUUAUCCCUAAAGAUUAUCUCAAAAGAAACGUUUUUUUAUUUAAUUUUGAUUUUAUAAAAUAAUAUAAUGAACAAAAGACAAAAACUUUGCAGUACUUAUUAAUUUA
rnacentral:lncRNA from 1 species